UCAAGAAACUUCCACAAUGGGCGAAAGCCUGAUGGAGCGACGUCGCGUGAUGGACGAAGUGCUUCGGCACGUAAACAUCUUUUAUGUGGGAUGAAAUUAUUGACAGUACCACAUGAAUAAGGGGCUCCUAACUCUGUGCCAGCAGGAGCGGUAAUACAGAGGCCCCAAGCGUUAUCCGGAAUCACUGGGCGUAAAGGGCGCGUAGGCGGCAAUUCAAGUCAUCUGUGAAAUCUCCGGGCUUAACUCGGAACGGUCAGAUGAUACUGCUUUGCUAGAGUGCAGAAGGGGCAAUCGGAAUUCUUGGUGUAGCGGUGAAAUGCGUAGAUAUCAAGAGGAACACCUGAGGUGAAGACGGGUUGCUGGGCUGACACUGACGCUGAGGCGCGAAAGCCAGGGGAGCAAACAGGAUUAGAUACCCUAGUAGUCCCUGAGCGGGCUGGCAAGGCGCAU
rnacentral:rRNA from 1 species